CAUGCGCGCAGCAAAACACAUAGAAACAUAAAAACCUAAAUCGCGUUCUUCUUCUUGUUGAAACCCCAAAUCAUCAUCAUCUUCUUCUUCUUCUUCUUCAUUCUUUGUUCUUCUUGAAACUCUUCCUCAAUCUUUCAUUUAUUUUCAUCCCCAAUUCCUUCUCUCAAUUUCUUCCUCACGAUUCCUCAAUUUCUUUGCUCCACCCCAAAUUUCGUAGCUCUUCUAUGUGAUUAGAUAUGUAAUCAUCCAUAACUAAAGAUUGUUCCUUGUUCGAAACUCUCAAAAUCGUUCACCACUGAAGAUUGGUUCACAAUCGUGAAACCCUAGGCGCAGCCUCUGAGCUAUCGGUGCCGCUUCAUUUUAUUCUUCGAGUUUAGUUAUUUCACAUAUAUGGAUUAGGCUGGGUCUGUCUUUGUGCUGUUAGUUUUCUACCAUGAAGCUCGAGUAUGCAUAAAGGAAAUGUCAACUUCAGUUGCCAGCUUCAAUCUUGUCUUGAGCCAAUCCCGAUACCAUUUUACUCUUCCUGGCAAGCGCUUAGGUAUAAAUUUAUAUAAAGCUAUUUUUAUAGCACAAAAUUGUUUUUGUAUAUGCAUGCUAUAUGUUGUUUUUGGAGAACUUAUAAAAAUAAGUUGAGAAAAGCUUACAAAAAUGUCAAAAAUUGUUUUUAUAAGUUCCAUAAAACAAUCUUACAAAAUUUAUAUUUUUAAAAGAUGUUUCACUUUCACCAAGAACAGAGUAUCUAAUGAUAAUGGUAUGAAUAUAUAUCGAGACUUUUAAGCCUAGUUUAUGCGAGAUUGUGACCUCAAACUAUCACGAAUUACUUCUAAAUCAAACUCAAGCGUGUAUAUACAGUAUAUAGUAUGAUAAUAACAACAUAAUGUAUGGCACAUGCACUCAUGAAAUGCUUAUGCACUCAUGAGUAUCCUUUCCAUGCUCGCCACUAGUGUAGUUAUUGUUGCAAUCAAUUGGAAGCGUUAUCAUUCUUGUACAUACCCAUUGCACAUAUGGAUUGUGGUGGACUAUACUGCUGUCUUUGUUUUCCGCCUCUUGAUGUUUGUCGAUAAUGGCUUUGCUGCAGGAAUGAGUUUAAACCAAGUCAAAUGAUGUGCUAAUGAAGCUUCAAUUACUCAACUAAAUUGGUUCAAAUGAUGUCCAAUUACUCAACUAAAUUGGACAUUGUCACUGCUAAGAUAACUGAGUCUUGGAUGGAGGGCAUUGAAACAUGUUCAGUUUAAUCGAGCUGUUCAUAUACUAAAUUCAGUUACGAAUUUCAUUGGAAAGAGGAAUGCAGUCUGGAAAAUUGGGAAUAGGAUAUUCAAUGUAUUGUAGUAGGAAGGGAAUGGGGUGUGGCUUAUUUGGUGGCCAGCCUUAUGGCUGGUUCUUUACAAGGUUACAUUAGAGUUAUAAUGCCUAGUUUUACAACUAAGGUUAUAUGUUAUACGGAUGGUUUUUUCAACUGCGAUGAUUGAAAAAAUUGCUUAAAUUAUUCAAAAGUCAUGUAUCAUGGAUAUAUUACUUCUUUAAUUUGUUCUUUGUGUUUUUUGGAUUUACCCCUA